rnacentral:rRNA from 1 species
GAUGAACGCUGGCGGCGUGCCUAAUACAUGCAAGUCGAGCGAACAGACGAGGAGCUUGCUCCUCUGACGUUAGCGGCGGACGGGUGAGUAACACGUGGAUAACCUACCUAUAAGACUGGGAUAACUUCGGGAAACCGGAGCUAAUACCGGAUAAUAUAUUGAACCGCAUGGUUCAAUAGUGAAAGACGGUUUUGCUGUCACUUAUAGAUGGAUCCGCGCCGCAUUAGCUAGUUGGUAAGGUAACGGCUUACCAAGGCAACGAUGCGUAGCCGACCUGAGAGGGUGAUCGGCCACACUGGAACUGAGACACGGUCCAGACUCCUACGGGAGGCAGCAGUAGGGAAUCUUCCGCAAUGGGCGAAAGCUUGACGGAGCAACGCCGCGUUAGUGAUGAAGGUCUUCGGAUCGUAAACUCUGUUAUUAGGGAAGAACAAAUGUGUAAGUAACUAUGCACGUCUUGACGGUACCUAAUCAGAAAGCCACGGCUAACUACGUG